UCCUAAUGAUGAAAUAUUCGAAAUCUGACGUUGCCAGAGGCUCCCAUUUUUACCGCGUUCGAUCAAUUAUUGACUCACCAAUGGAUUCCGGGUAAAAUUGCUUCUCCAUUGUAAUCUUAGUGGCUCGAUUUUAGUUUAUAUCGUUCCUCUGUAAGGCCAAUGGUACAAAAAAUCAUCUAGCAAGUAAUAAUUUUUUGCUUAAAGAGACUUUUGUGCAUGAAAACAGCCACUUGCUUGUCAAUUUUUCUCACUAAGAAGCGCUAAUUUUACUUUUUUGGAAUCAAAUUGGAAUAAUUGAUCGUUGGUGGAUGGAAAAAUGAAGCACUUCUUUAGUAAUCUGAAGGAA